rnacentral:rRNA from 1 species
ACGUAGGGUGCUAGCGUUGUCCGGAUUUACUGGGUGUAAAGGGUGCUCAGGUGGGUUUGUAAGUCAGAGGUGAAAUCCCAAAGCUUAACUUUGGUGCUGCCUUUGAUACUGCAAGUCUGGAGUUUGAGAGAGGGUAAUGGAAUAUCUGGUGUAGCAGUGAAAGGCGUAGAUAUCAGAUAGAACACCAAUGGCGAAGGCAGUUACCUGGCUCAAAACUGACGCUAAAGCACGAAAGUGUGGGGAGCAAACAG